rnacentral:tRNA from 1 species
AGAAAUCUAGUUUAUCCAAAAAAAUCUAGGCUUGUCAAGCCUAAGAAGUCAGUUAUGACGAUCUCUA